ensembl:lncRNA
AUUUUCUUUAAUGUGUCGUCAUCAUUGAGGAGUGCGAGAGGGAAACAUAAAGAAGUGGCGCUCUCCAAUCAAAAUUUGAGCGGGUUUAUGUUAAGGACCAAUCAGGUUGUCAGAAAAGAAAUCCCCGCCCGCGCGGUAAAUUCUGGUUUCUCAUCUACUGGUUGUAAUUUAGUUUGCCUUUUAAGCGUUGGGUGGUUCAUUUCCUGCUGUCUAAUAGUACUAUCAGUAUUAAUAAUAGUAGUAUGCCUUGAAUUUGAUUAGUGAUAGUAGUAAUAUAUUUCGUUGUCCAAAUUUAGCUUGGUUAUGCCGCGCAAAAAUCUACGUUUUUUAUUGGAACUGAAAGGAGUGAGUGAUUUCAAUUCUCAAAAUUGCACUCUCAGUCUCUUGCAAAAUUCAGGUUUAAUCUUAAUUUUUCGGUGAGCCACAGUGAGGGGGGAAAUUGAGAAGUGCGCUGGUCGAAUGAUUUUUAUUGUUUUAGCUUGCGGCGUGUCCGAAAAAGAGAGAAUCGCUUGUUCUAAAGUGAGAGUGUGGGAGCAGAGAUCGCCUCAGCAGCAGGUUGGUUGUGUGUCACUCCAACAACAAUCAACAUCAUGGCAACCGCUCUCCAGCAAAGGCGCGUCCUGGUGGAGAUCCCAGCACCUCAGCCCAAAAGUGCAGCUCAUAUGAGGAGGUCUUACUUGGAUGUUCUGAAUUCCCGUGUUGGAUCAUCUUCCCACAGCUCCAGAAACAGUGGCGUGUCCACCAACCCACGGAGGAACCGAGCAUUGGAGACCCAUCAUAGGAGUACACCCAUGAGCCAGUCAGAGGAUGUUCAGGUCAAGGAAGCAUCUCUCUCCCAGCAACAAGUUGUGCAGUUUAUUCAGUCUAUUAUGUUACACCAAAAGCAGCAGGAACCCACUGUCACUUGCUCAGAUGUGAAGGUUCUACUGGAAGAGCUACACCUGAAGAAGACUAUUGUGUACAGGUCCAUUCCCUACUCACGCCUCGGGUCAAACAGAGAUGCACACUGUUACAGAAAGGCCUAUCCCCACCUUCUAGCAUUCAAGCGCUUCUGCCAAGAGGGAGGCCGAUUGCUGCUCCAGGACCAGCGGUGGGAGGAAGCGCUGGAGUUCACCCUGGGAGCAUGGUGGUGCACAGCAUCCCUGCCGCAGUGGGAGGUCGCCGGCCACAACGUUCUGAGGGAGCAGUGCUACGGCACGCUGGCAGACCUGUGCACCACUGCACUGCGGCACCAUCGACCCCACUACAGCCAAGCCCUCGAGCUCUUCAGGAGGUUUAAACUGGCCAGGAUGCACAGUAACCUGAUCUCCCCUUGCAUUGAGACACUGGAGAGGAUUUUGGGUGAGGGUGAGGAGCAGGGCAGGGCAACUGAUGUGACCUCAUCUGUCCAGAGUCAGCAGUGAUGUUGGUCAGGUACAACUCUUCCCAGUGUCUGCCCCACCGAUGUAUGCAGUGGUACAAUCAAUGGAUCGCUGAGGCCGAACAGCUUCACUGUGAAAAACCUUCUAAAAGCCAGUGUUAUGCCAACCAUUUACCACAGUGCUGCAGUUUACAGUGGUUCUAUACUGGAUGGCAGCUGUCUGGAGUUGAUAUUGUUGGAUCAAUGAGUUGAUGGUCUCACUCUUCUUUAAGGAAAGAACUUGGAAGAUGUCACUCAUUUGACAUCACUGUAAUACGAGAAGACUCUGCCUCAAGGCUAUGAUUCUAAUUAAAAAGGAAAAGCAUUUUUAAAAAUUGAUACAAUAUGGUGCAUGAGGAGAGGGAAAAGGAAAACAUUCAAUUUAAUAGGAUUAUUUUUUUUGAGUUGAGGGAUUUUGUAUCUCUUCCUAUUUAAUUGAAUGCACUGGCUUUUUAUACACUAUACACUUCAUAAUUUCUGAAAGGGAAAGACCAAUUUUAAACAAGACAUGGAUCAUGAACUCCUUUACAAUGUGUUAAGAACGCUAAUGUGAGUACUUGGAAGUCAGCUGUCUGAGCAAAUUCAUUUCUAUAAAAUAUUCAAGAAGCCUUUUAGGAUAAGAGUUCCCUGAUGUUUAGAAUUUAUGGAUUUUGGUGAAGAUGGAACUUAUAGUGUGCGCCACAUAAAUAUUUAGACCUUUCUCUUGCUUCCGAUUCCAGUGUUUACCUUUGCAGAAUUGCACAUCUGUUUUGUUCUGCUGAAAACUUGAAUUUAACUCUUUAUUUCUGAAUAAAUUAUUGAAAACC